rnacentral:rRNA from 1 species
UACGAAGGGGGCUAGCGUUGUUCGGAUUUACUGGGCGUAAAGCGCACGUAGGCGGCUUGUUAAGUCAGGGGUGAAAUCCUGGAGCUCAACUCCAGAACUGCCUUUGAUACUGGCAAUCUUGAGUCCGGAAGAGGUGAGUGGAACUCCUAGUGUAGAGGUGGAAUUCGUAGAUAUUAGGAAGAACACCAGUGGCGAAGGCGGCUCACUGGUCCGGUACUGACGCUGAGGUGCGAAAGCGUGGGGAGCAAACAGG